rnacentral:rRNA from 1 species
UACAGAGGUGGCAAGCGUUGUUCGGAUUUACUGGGCGUAAAGCGUGUGUAGGCGGCUUCGUAAGUUGGAUGUGAAAUCCCACGGCUCAACCGUGGACGUGCAUCCAAAACUACGUCGCUGGAGUCUCGGAGAGGAAGGUGGAAUGCUUGGUGUAGAGGUGAAAUUCGUAGAUAUCAAGCAGAACACCUGCGGCGGAGGCGGCCUUCUGGACGAUGACUGACGCUGAGACACGAAAGCGUGGGGAGCAAACAGG